rnacentral:rRNA from 1 species
UAACCUGCCUGGUAGCGGGGGAUAACUAUUGGAAACGAUAGCUAAUACCGCAUAAGAGCAGAUGUCGCAUGACAUUUGCUUAAAAGGUGCAAUUGCAUCACUACCAGAUGGACCUGCGUUGUAUUAGCUAGUUGGUGGGGUAACGGCUCACCAAGGCGACGAUACAUAGCCGACCUGAGAGGGUGAUCGGCCACACUGGGACUGAGACACGGCCCAG